GAUGAAGAACGUAGCGAAAUGCGAUAAGUAAUGUGAAUUGCAGAAUUCAGUGAAUCAUCGAAUCUUUGAACGCACAUUGCGCCCCCUGGUAUUCCGGGGGGCAUGCCUGUCCGAGCGUCAUUACAACCCUCAAGCUCAGCUUGGUGUUGGGCUCGGCCGCCCCGGCGGGCCCUAAAGUCAGUGGCGGUGCCGUCCGGCUCCGAGCGUAGUAAUUCUUCUCGCUCUGGAGGUCCGGUCGUGUGCUCGCCAGCAACCCCCAAUUUUUUUCAGGUUGACCUCGGAUCAGGUAGGGAUACCCGCUGAACUUAAGCAUAUCAAUAAGCGGAGGA
rnacentral:misc_RNA from 1 species